UACGUAGGGUGCGAGCGUUUAAUCGGAAUUACUGGGCGUAAAGCGUGCGCAGGCGGUGCUGUAAGACCGAUGUGAAAUCCCCGGGCUUAACCUGGGAACUGCAUUGGUGACUGCAGCGCUGGAGUAUGGCAGAGGGGGGGUGGAAUUCCACGUGUAGCAGUGAAAUGCGUAGAGAUGUGGAGGAACACCGAUGGCGAAGGCAGCCCCCUGGGCCAAUACUGACGCCUCAUGCACGAAAGCGUGGGGAGCAAACAGG
rnacentral:rRNA from 1 species